CCAUAGUUUAAGAAGAGAUAUCUUGAAAACACGGAAAGAGAAAAGUCAAUACAAUAUUUCCUAAUUUUUUAAGAGGUCAGAGAAGGGAGUUACUGUGUGGCCUGGAGCAGGUGAUUCUGACUACCAAGGGAAAAUUGGAGUACUACUCCACAAUGGAGGGUCUGCAGGAUGGACCCGGCAGCUGGUGCCCUGUGUGAGGAACGCUGCAACGGACUGCGACAGAACCCUCGAAAACGAAGGUGAAGAGACUGUGCAGUCAGUCCUCUUUGUAUUCCAGUGUGACAGACACAUCAAACCAUACCAUGGCGUGGCUAAGACCCAAGCUGGUAUCAAAAAUAAAGGAAACGACGCUGCAGGACCCGCAGCCCCAGACGAUGUGGCUUCCUCCGAUGACACAGGCCCCAGACAUUACCUGGGGGAAGCUGAAGAAGACAACUCAGGAGGCCGAGUGAAUCCUUCUCUGGACACAGACACCAUCACUCCAGAUAAUCUGUUCCUUGCUAUGCUCUCUAUUGUACCUUGCAACUCUCAUAGGGUAUUCACCUUUCUUAUUCUCUCACUUUGCCUGCAACUCAUACCUGCUACAUUCUAUUGGGCCCAUCUUCUAAGAUCUGCCUUUCUUCCAACCUGUUACCUUGGCAGACACCCCCUUCCCAUCCUCUAAUAAUGUAACUGCUUAGCUGGGAGGGGUUGACAUGCCCCCAGUGGGGUUCCUUAAUAAUGGCACACAUUGAACUGAGGUGCCAAGUAACACUACAUAUCUCUCCUUGAUUGGAAAAGAAUAAUAGUGACUAUACUAAUGUUUGACUUAUGUUAUUUACUAAUUCUAGGAUGCAAAGCCGGAACACGAGCUGUAACCGCUGCGCCUGUCAAAUCUGUCACUGCACACAUCUGUACUAUUCAAUCAACAAAACCCGAUGCUAAAAACAGAAAAGGGGGAGACGCGGGAGAUCGGUCAGAGUGGUAGGAGAAGGUAUAGGGAAAGGAACAGACCUUCUGAAAGGCGGGAAGGCUCUGGAUAGCUUCAGGGAUGAAUAAGCUGAAGGCAGCUGUUCUCUUACCCUGAGGCAGAGGGCAAGGGGUAGGUAAGGAAGUAUAGGGGAAUUUGGCAUAAACAGGCUUGUUUACUUACAUUGUCCGGAAACCGACUUUGAUCAUCAGGGCAGGAGACUGCUCCCUGAAAGGGGGAAUAAUAAUGUUAAUUACCCACAGAUUGUGUUGGCUCCAGGCUUUCAUUAUUUUGUCUGUACUGAAUAAAAGCAAGCAGCUCCAGCUGUUCGAGACUGCUCACUCUUCAGCCAUUAGUGCUGGGCAUUCCUGUAGCUGCUCUUACACUGCAUGCCUGUGGCUGAGUACUCCUUUCAUCCGUUGCUUGGCCAGGGUCUGUGGGAUGGACCCCGCAGGUAAGGGUUAUCAAAAAAAAAAAAAAUUCACAGGCAGAUAGGAACACCAUGACCAUACUAAAAGGCUUUUUUCCCAUUUUAGUCUUGCAAGUUUGUAAAGAAGGAUAUGAAGCCCCUAAGAAAUCAGUGAAACACUUU
rnacentral:lncRNA from 10 species